CAGUGCUUCCUUUUUUGCCCAAGGAUUGUGCAAAACUGCCUGGUUAGAUGAUGAUGAUGGAGAGGAAGAGGAAGAAGGCGGCUAAGUGUGCUUGAUGUUGUCAGCCUAGAGGAUGUCCAGGUAUUUCUAGUGACCAUCUUCAUCCAAACACUUGAUGUUAUUUCCAUAUUGUUUCCUUCAGUUUUCAAUAUUUUUCUCCAUUUGAUGGGGAAAAAACCAGUUGUCUCUGGAUAUUCCAUAAAGCAGCAGUGUUUCUGCAGUUUCAACUGAUCUUGAUGCGAUAGCAACAGGAGAAGUUAUGAUGGAUUUUAUAAGAUGCAAUUCAGAAACAGAUGGGCUUUGCAGCAUACUCUGAAGGUUACAAAUAAGAAUUUGAAAUGAAGGGCAAGAGGAAGGACCUAUGUGAGCAAAUCCCAAUCACCAGGAACUUCUGUAAAAAGCUUUCUACCAGAAUAGCCAUGAUUAAUAUGAAUAGGGCUAAGAAUGAGUCCAUUGCUAAGACCUUCAAACUGGAUACUUUAUAGCGUUUCUUUAUUGCCUCUCAAGAAUGUUAUUUAAGGCAAUAUACAACACUCAUAGA